GGUGCAUAAACAUUACCUUUCUCUGCCCGUGGUUGUUAUAUGAGGAUAUGACGUCUGGGAGACUGCAACAUUCUUGCUCUCUUCAGGAGAGCCAGCCUGAGGAAGAGGCCAGGACAUGGAGCAGGGAAGAGCAGAAAGAAAGCUAUUCCUGCCACAGCUUCAGAUGUCCAACAAUAUCAACAGAAAAGAUAAAAAUAUCACAAAACUUCUUCCUCCCAGCAUCCAAAUUUCAGUGGAUUUUCUCUGCUUGAGCCUCACGCAUCCUUCUUAUUCCUAUCCUUGAUGCUGAGGGCUGGGGCCAGGAAUCUUGAUUGACAACUCCCCAGAAACACCUGGAAGAAGACAGAGCAAUUUCCUCAAAGAUCUAAGAGGAUUGAACAAAAAUCUGUAUACAUCAUCUAAUUAAAUAAAACUAAUUACACUUUA